rnacentral:lncRNA from 1 species
CUUUAUGGAGGGUCCCUCCUCCUUUUUUUUGUAUUCUUUUUCUUCUUUUUAUCUUCUUGCAUUAAUUUGAGUCAUGGCGCUCUUGUCCUCCAACGACAAUGUCCUGCCGAAGCUCUUCCCCUGUCGGAGGGUAUUCUCUUGAAGUCGAUGACACGAGACCUCCAAAGGGAGGUUCGUCAGUUGACAAGAAAAUCCAAGAAGCUGGA